UACGAAGGGGGCUAGCGUUGCUCGGAAUCACUGGGCGUAAAGCGCACGUAGGCGGCUUUUUAAGUCAGGGGUGAAAUCCUGGAGCUCAACUCCAGAACUGCCUUUGAUACUGGCGAGCUUGAGUCCGGGAGAGGUGAGUGGAACUGCGAGUGUAGAGGUGAAAUUCGUAGAUAUUCGCAAGAACACCAGUGGCGAAGGCGGCUCACUGGCCCGGUUCUGACGCUGAGGCGCGAAAGCGUGGGGAGCAAACAGG
rnacentral:rRNA from 1 species